GACCCCGCACAAGCGGUGGAUCAUGUUGUUUAAUUCGAUGAUACGCGAAGAACCUUACCAGGUCUUGACAUCCCCCGCAAAGCUAUGGAGACAUAGUGGAGGUAUUCGGGGAGACAGGUGGUGCAUGGUUGUCGUCAGCUCGUGUCGUGAGAUGUUGGGUUAAGUCCCGCAACGAGCGCAACCCUUAUUGCUAGUUACCAUCAUUAAGUUGGGGACUCUAGCGAGACUGCCAGUGAUAAACUGGAGGAAGGUGGGGAUGACGUCAAAUCAUCAUGCCCCUUAUGACCUGGGCUACAAACGUGAUACAAUGGCUGGAACAAAGGGAGGCGAAGGGGUGACCUGGAGCGAAACUCAAAAAAACAGUCUCAGUUCGGAUUGAAGUCUGCAACUCGACUUCAUGAAGUCGGAAUCGCUAGUAAUCGCGGAUCAGAACGCCGCGGUGAAUACGUUCUCGGGGUUU
rnacentral:rRNA from 1 species